GAAGUUUUUAGAUUUUGUAUUUUAGGGCUGGUGAUUGACUGGCUAUUUUAAUUUAUUUACAGUUCUCAAGGACAGGCGAAGCUCUUGUGAUGAGACCACUAACUCCAUUGUGAUCCAUGUUCUUGAAGAGAUAAUUCCUUCAUUUUCAAACAGCGGUAAAGAGCAACUGAAGGAGUUGUUGGGCGUGAAGUAGCUUCCGAAGCCUCAAGGCAUUCAUUGGAGCAUAGCUCAAGGUCUCAGCUACAUAGAAGUCUUGCUAGGUUUAGUCGAGAUGAUGUCUAGCAAGGACCAUGAUUCCAUUGUCAUUGGAAAGAGAUUCAUUUCAUUUGUGAUAUGCAUACAUGUAAGUAUAGGUUUGAAACUUCUUAAUCGACAGGUCGUAUUUAUGUUAGUUACUAGUUUAGUAACGCACGUGUGUACGCGUUAAGUAAUAGAUGCAUACAUAAAUUAUUACAAAAAAGUUGACUUAAAAUAAAUGUAAUAUUUAUUUAAAUGAUGAAAUGAAUGUUAUUAUACUGACCCGAUAACUUAAUUUCAAUAUCCUAUGAACAUGUAAAUAUGAUGAAUUUCGUUAGUAUUUUUAUCUCACCUGACAACUUUCUACGAAUGAUAUUGUUGGUUUAUAUUAUGUUCUCUUAUGUCAUUUUGACUACUUUAACAUUUUAAAAAAUUUGUUAUCGUCAUUGAUAGUCCUCUUAAAAGUGCAACAUAUAUUUGUCCAUGAAAUAUUAUUAAAAAUUUAGAUAGAGUUCCUAAUUUAUACCAAAAUAAAAAUGUAGAAGAGUAUAGAUAGAGUUCCUAAUUUGUACCAAAUAAUAAAAAGAUUUACACCCCCCAACUUUGCUUUGAAAAUCAAACUCCCCCCUCAACUUUGAACAAUAGACAUUCUCCUCCCUUUAUCCUAUGCAAUGACUAUUUCACCCUUAUUUUUUUCAAUCCUCAAUUUAUGUAAUACAUUUUUAUAUUAUAUAUAAUAUUUAUUUAUUUAUUUAAUCUAGGUAUUUAUAGAUGAUAGGUCUGUUUCUGGGCACUUCUACCCGAAGAUUUCUUAUAAAGAGCUCCGCAAUGCAACUGAUGAAUUUUCUUCUGAAAAUUUGGUUGGCUCUGGCAGUUUUGGAACUGUUUACGAGGGAACUCUUGGCUCUGAUGGAUUGGCUGUUGCAGUCAAAGUACUCAAUAUGCAGCAUCGAGGUGCUAAUAAAAGCUUCAUAGCUGUAUGCCAAGCAUUGAGAAACUUUAGGCACCGGAACCUCGUUAAAGUCAUCACAGCAUGCUCUGGUUCUGAUUAUAAGGGAAACGAGUUUAAAGCUUUGGUGUUUGAGUUCAUGCAGAAAGGGAGCUUGGAAGAGUGGCUACAUCGAAAAGGGGAAACACAAAGGAGCAGCUUGACGAUUCUUCAGAGAAUUAAUAUUGUAGUAGAUGUAGCUUCUGCACUAUAUUAUCUUCAUCAUCAGUGCCAAACGCCUAUGAUCCACUGCGAUAUAAAGCCACAGAAUGUUCCUUCUUGAUGAAGAUCUCACAGCUCGUCUUGGUGAUUUUGGUUUGGUGAGACUCAUUCCUGGAUUCAGUACUGAAGCCAACCUGAAUUACUUUAGCUCACUUGGAGUAGAGGGAACAGUUGGUUAUGCAGCUCCAGAAUAUGGCACAGGUGCUAAGGUCUCCGUUUUAGGAGAUAUAUACAGUUUUGGAAUUCUAAUAUUGGAGAUAUUCACUGGAAAAAGACCCCCAGACACAUCGUUUCAAGAAAGCUUGUCUGCAUCACUUUGUGAAGAGAGCAUUACCAAAGGGAGUGAUGGAGCUUUUAGACAAGACAGCUUUAGAUUGUGAGUUGACAGGAAAAGCAGCCAUGGAGAAAAUAUGUUGGGCCAAUCUGAAUAAAGAAAAGGUGGAAUGCUUGGUUUCCACACUUGAAAUUGGAGUUGCAUGUUCAGUGGAAUCCCCAAGAGAUAGAUUGACGAUGAGACAAGUUAACGGAAAGUUGACACUGAUCAGGGACAAGUUCUGUGGGAGCUAAAAAAGGAUCAAAGAGGAGAUUGAGGGCGUAGGUAUGAAUUGUUUAUGAAAGUUUUCAAUCUAUAAGAUACAGAAGCAACUCACAAAGAGUAAUACACAUACUCUCGGAGGGACAACACAUCUUAACUUGGAUAAUGGAACAAGCUUUCGGGAGGAGAGAGAUAGUUGCAGCACUUGCAUUGAUUUUUUCUAUCCACAGGUAAUCUAUCUAAUGUUGUCAAAUUUUAAUAAAUAUGGAAAUACCAACCAUUGACAGAUCAAAUAUUAGAGGUUGAAAAAUGAAAAGAGAGAUUGCAGAUGCGAUGCUACGAGUUGUUGAUUAGCAAACAGUUUUUUUUAUUCAAUUUGAAUUUGAUAUCAUGUAAUGUUAUAAAUUCAGGAUCACACAAGGUAUAUUAGUAACGAAAACUAAGAUUCAAAGUUACUUCCAAUUCAAAGUUACUUCCAACCUUUUGUAUCUGUUUGCUUCCAGAACAUAUUGCCAAGUUGUUAUCAACCAAGUUGAAUCAGAUUUCUCCAA